CUUGGUCAUUUAGAGGAAGUAAAAGUCGUAACAAGGUCUCCGUUGGUGAACCAGCGGAGGGAUCAUUACUGAGUGCAAACUCUCCAACCAUUGUUUAUCUACCUAUUUUUGCUUCUCCGGCAGGCGGUUCUAGGGAGGGACCGAGCCUAUGGCCCUAGCCUAAGCACUUGCCGAAGGGGUACCUACUGCUCUAUAUUAUACUGUCUGAGUAAACAAAAAAAUAUCAAAAUUUUCAAUUGUGGAUCUCUUGGUUCUGGCAUCGAUGAAGAACGCAGCGAAAUGCGAUAAGUAAUGUGAAUUGCAGAAUUCAGCGAACCAUCGAAUCUUUGAACGCACAUUGCGCCCAUUAGUAUUCUAUUGGGCAUGCCUGUUCGAGCGUCAUUUCAACCCUCAGGCUUCGGUCUGGUGCUAGGGCAUUGCACUUGCAAGCCCUGAAAAAUAGUGGCGGACUCACUGAAAUCCGAGCGUAGUCAUUUCUCUCGCUAUGGACUUUUGGUGAUGUUCCUGCCGUAAAAUCACCCCUAUAUUACAAGGUUGACCUCGGAUCAGGUAGGAAUACCCGCUGAACUUAAGCAUAUCAAUAAGCGGAGGAAAAGAAACCAACAGGGAUUGCCCUAGUAACGGCGAGUGAAGCGGCAACAGCUCAAAUUUGAAAUCUGGCCCUAGGCCCGAAUUGUAAUUUGCAGAGGAUGCUUCUGGUAACGUGCCUUCGGAGUCCCCUGGAACGGGGCGCCAGAGAGGGUGAGAGCCCCGUAUCGUUGUGCACCGCGCCUUUGUGUAGCGCCUUCGACGAGUCGAGUUGUUUGGGAAU
rnacentral:sRNA from 1 species